UUCACGUUUCAUUACUCAUGCAAAUUUUUAACAAUUUUUGUUUCACACAAACAGUUUAUGCAUAUGAUUGGAUUUUUCAUAUAAGUAAUAAGUAAUUUGUCAUCAAAGUUAUUGCAGAAAACAUACAGUUUAUGCAUAUGAUUGGAUUUUUCAUAAUUCAAAUAUCAAUGUAUUAUUCACACUCGUAUCUGUUGAAAAAUAUUUCAUUAGACUCUUAUUUGUUUCAGGUUUAAAAUCAUACAAGAGAGAGAUCUUACGCUCAACAGAUUCACUACUCAAAACUGCUUGUACGAGUGAGAUAGAAACACAAAGGAGGCGUGUAUCACAAUUGGCGAACACUGCCGAUACUCCCCAGAGGUUUAGCUCGGCGCUAACAUUAUUGAUUCAUUUUCUCACCUCACAACUCGGUCUCAUAAGCAAUUGUGCUCUCGUGAAGGAACCUUACCUGCAUCUAGAAAAUCAUAGCCGAGGAGCUACCUGAACCGAGUCGAGGAGCUGAGAGAAGUCGAUUAUUUCAUUUCGUCAAAUCAACACAUCAUUUUCUCACCUCUCAACUCGGUCUCAUAAGCAGUUGUGCUCUCGUGAGGGAAACUUACCUGCAUCGAGAAAAUCAUAGCCGAGGAGCUACCUGAACCAAGUCGAGGAGCAUAUCCGAUUAUUUCAUUUCGUCAAAUCAACACAUGUAAGUUCAU